rnacentral:rRNA from 1 species
GGUUAAGUUAAUAAGGGCGCACGGUGGAUGCCUUGGCACUAGGAGCCGACGAAGGACGUGACAAACGACGAUAUGCCUUGGGUAGCUGUAAGUAAGCGAUGAUCCAGGGAUUUCCGAAUGGGGGAACCCAACAGGUAAUACCUGUUACCUACAUCUGUUAAGGAUGUGAGGAGGAAGACGCAGUGAACUGAAACAUCUAAGUAGCUGCAGGAAGAGAAAGCAAAAGCGAUUGCCUUAGUAGCGGCGAGCGAAACGGCAGAAGGGCAAACCGAAGAGUUUACUCUUCGGGGUUGUAGGACUGCAAUGUGGACUCAAAGAUUAUAGAAGAAUGAUUUGGGAAGAUCAGCCAAAGAGAGUAAUAGCCUCGUAUUUAAAAUAGUCUUUGUACUUAGCAGUAUCCUGAGUACGGCGGGACACGUGAAAUCCCGUCGGAAUCUGGGAGGACCAUCUCCCAACCCUAAAUACUCCCUAGUGACCGAUAGUGAACCAGUACCGUGAGGGAAAGGUGAAAAGCACCCCGGGAGGGGAGUGAAAUAGAACCUGAAACCGUGUGCCUACAACAAGUUCGAGCCCGUUAAUGGGUGAGAGCGUGCCUUUUGUAGAAUGAACCGGCGAGUUACGUUAUGAUGCGAGGUUAAGUUGAAGAGACGGAGCCGUAGGGAAACCGAGUCUGAAUAGGGCGCCUUAGUAUCAUGACGUAGACCCGAAACCAUGUGACCUACCCAUGAGCAGGUUGAAGGUGCGGUAAGACGCACUGGAGGACCGAACCAGGGCACGUUGAAAAGUGCUUGGAUGACUUGUGGGUAGCGGAGAAAUUCCAAACGAACUUGGAGAUAGCUGGUUCUCUCCGAAAUAGCUUUAGGGCUAGCGUCGACAUUAGAGAUUCUUGGAGGUAGAGCACUGUUUGGGUGAGGGGUCCAUCCCGGAUUACCAAUCUCAGAUAAACUCCGAAUGCCAAUGAAUUAUGGUCGGCAGUCAGACUGCGAGUGCUAAGAUCCGUAGUCGAAAGGGAAACAGCCCAGACCACCAGCUAAGGUCCCAAAAUAAUUGUUAAGUGGAAAAGGAUGUGGGGUUGCACAGACAACUAGGAUGUUAGCUUAGAAGCAGCUAUUCAUUCAAAGAGUGCGUAAUAGCUCACUAGUCGAGUGACCCUGCGCCGAAAAUGUACCGGGGCUAAAACAAUUUACCGAAGCUGUGGAUACCUUUAUAGGUAUGGUAGGAGAGCGUUCUAUGUGUGAUGAAGGUAUACCGUGAGGAGUACUGGAACGCAUAGAAGUGAGAAUGCCGGUAUGAGUAGCGAAAGACAGGUGAGAAUCCUGUCCACCGUAAGACUAAGGUUUCCAGGGGAAGGCUCGUCCGCCCUGGGUUAGUCGGGACCUAAGGAGAGACCGAAAGGUGUAUCCGAUGGACAACAGGUUGAUAUUCCUGUACUAGAGUAUGUAGUGAUGGAGGGACGCAGUAGGCUAACUAAAGCAGACGAUUGGAAGAGUCUGUCUAAGCAGUGAGGUGUGAAUUGAGUCAAAUGCUUAAUUCUAUAACAUUGAGCUGUGAUGGGGAGCGAAGUUUAGUAGCGAAGUUAGUGACGUCACACUGCCAAGAAAAGCUUCUAGCGUUUAAACAUACUCUACCCGUACCGCAAACCGACACAGGUAGUCGAGGCGAGUAGCCUCAGGUGAGCGAGAGAACUCUCGUUAAGGAACUCGGCAAAAUGACCCCGUAACUUCGGGAGAAGGGGUGCUGACUUAAAGUCAGCCGCAGUGAAUAGGCCCAAGCAACUGUUUAUCAAAAACACAGCUCUCUGCUAAAUCGUAAGAUGAUGUAUAGGGGGUGACGCCUGCCCGGUGCUGGAAGGUUAAGAGGAGUGCUUAGCGUAAGCGAAGGUAUGAAUUGAAGCCCCAGUAAACGGCGGCCGUAACUAUAACGGUCCUAAGGUAGCGAAAUUCCUUGUCGGGUAAGUUCCGACCCGCACGAAAGGCGUAAUGAUUUGGGCACUGUCUCAACGAGAGACUCGGUGAAAUUUUAGUACCUGUGAAGAUGCAGGUUACCCGCGACAGGACGGAAAGACCCCAUGGAGCUUUACUGCAGUUUGAUAUUGAGUGUCUGUACCACAUGUACAGGAUAGGUAGGAGUCUAAGAGAUCGGGACGCCAGUUUCGAAGGAGACGCUGUUGGGAUACUACCCUUGUGUUAUGGCCACUCUAACCCAGAUAGGUGAUCCCUAUCGGAGACAGUGUCUGACGGGCAGUUUGACUGGGGCGGUCGCCUCCUAAAAGGUAACGGAGGCGCCCAAAGGUUCCCUCAGAAUGGUUGGAAAUCAUUCGCAGAGUGUAAAGGUAUAAGGGAGCUUGACUGCGAGAGCUACAACUCGAGCAGGGACGAAAGUCGGGCUUAGUGAUCCGGUGGUUCCGUAUGGAAGGGCCAUCGCUCAACGGAUAAAAGCUACCCUGGGGAUAACAGGCUUAUCUCCCCCAAGAGUUCACAUCGACGGGGAGGUUUGGCACCUCGAUGUCGGCUCGUCGCAUCCUGGGGCUGUAGUCGGUCCCAAGGGUUGGGCUGUUCGCCCAUUAAAGCGGCACGCGAGCUGGGUUCAGAACGUCGUGAGACAGUUCGGUCCCUAUCCGUCGCGGGCGUAGGAAAUUUGAGAGGAUCUGCUCCUAGUACGAGAGGACCAGAGUGGACUUACCGCUGGUGUACCAGUUGUCUUGCCAAAGGCAUCGCUGGGUAGCUAUGUAGGGAAGGGAUAAACGCUGAAAGCAUCUAAGUGUGAAACCCACCUCAAGAUGAGAUUUCCCAUGAUUAUAUAUCAGUAAGAGCCCUGAGAGAUGAUCAGGUAGAUAGGUUAGAAGUGGAAGUGUGGCGACACAUGUAGCGGACUAAUACUAAUAGCUCGAGGACUUAUCCAA